GACGAACGCUGGCGGCGUGCUUAACACAUGCAAGUCGAACGGAAAGGCCCUGCUUUUGUGGGGUGCUCGAGUGGCGAACGGGUGAGUAACACGUGAGUAACCUGCCCUUGACUUUAGGAUAACUUCAUGAAACUGGGGCUAAUACCGGAUAGGAGCUCCUGCUGCAUGGUGGGGGUUGGAUAGUUUCGGCGGUUGGGGAUGGACUCGCGGCUUAUCAGCUUGUUGGUGGGGUAGUGGCUUACCAAGGCUUUGACGGGUAGCCGGCCUGAGAGGGUGACCGGACACAUUGGGACUGAGAUACGGCCCAGACUCCUACGGGAGGCAGCAGUGGGGAAUAUUGCACAAUGGGCGGAAGCCUGAUGCAGCAACGCAGCGUGCGGGAUGACGGCCUUCGGGUUGUAAACCGCUUUCGCCUGUGACGAAGCGUGAGUGACGGUAAUGGGUAAAGAAGCACCGGCUAACUACGUG
rnacentral:rRNA from 1 species